rnacentral:lncRNA from 1 species
GCAAUCAUUAUUUCACCUGACCGUUUAAUCCUUUUUUUUUCAACAGCUUGAAUAUAGGUUCGCACGUGAUUGUUAGGUGAGAUGAGAACCAUGACAUGUAGUUCAAUCUACCUAAUAGACCACGAACCUCUUUUUUGUUCUCGGUUCAGGCACUUUUUUUUUUUUUGUUAUAUUUUUUAUUUUUUGCAGGAUCAACCUUGAUUCCUCUCUUACUUACGAUGAACCCCCAGCAGCUUACCGGCCCGCACUCUGAUAGUGCACUUAUCUGAAUUCAAACUCCGUUUGAAUUAUCUCAACUGGUCCAACAGCUUG